AUGUUUUUCCGGCUCUCAAUCUUUUCGAGUCCUCGGCCUACGGCCUCGGACUUGAAAACCGAUUUCGAGCCGGAAAAAUCUCAUUUUCUGCUCUAAGUGCGAAAUAUACUAUUUCGAAACUUGAAGCUUUUCAAACUUAAUUAUGUUUGAAAAUUUUGACUUUAAAGUUGAUUAAUAUUCCAAUCCUGACUUCAACAACAACAAUAAUUAUUCUAAUCUUUGAUUAAUCUUAUCUAGUAGCAUGGACUGUAUUCUUUCCAGUAUCUUCCCAAUCUCCUAUCUAAUCUUUAAUGAAUAGAAGGCCUAUGAUACUUAUCAAGAAUCAGUAUUAUAAUUGGGGCCAAGCCACACGAAGUGUUUUCAGACGAGUCUGCAGGGCAGAAAGCUCUCCGAUUGGGUUGGUGUUCGGGUAUCAGCUGAUAAUCAGCCAAUCUACCUAAGAGCUU